UUAAUUCGAAGCAACGCGAAGAACCUUACCUAAGCUUGACAUCCCAAUGACAUCUCCUUAAUCGGAGAGUUCCCUUCGGGGACAUUGGUGACAGGUGGUGCAUGGUUGUCGUCAGCUCGUGUCGUGAGAUGUUGGGUUAAGUCCCGCAACGAGCGCAACCCUUGUCUUUAGUUGCCAUCAUUAAGUUGGGCACUCUAGAGAGACUGCCAGGGAUAACCUGGAGGAAGGUGGGGAUGACGUCAAAUCAUCAUGCCCCUUAUGCUUAGGGCUACACACGUGCUACAAUGGGUAGUACAGAGGGUUGCCAAGCCGUAAGGUGGAGCUAAUCCCUUAAAGCUACUCUCAGUUCGGAUUGUAGGCUGAAACUCGCCUACAUGAAGCUGGAGUUACUAGUAAUCGCAGAUCAGAAUGCUGCGGUGAAUGCGUUCCCGGGUCUUGUACACACCGCCCGUCACACCACGGGAGUUGGAGACGCCCGAAGCCGAUUAUCUAACCUGUUGGAAGAAGUCGUCGAAGGUGGAAUCAAUAACUGGGGUGAAGUCGUAACAAGGUAGCCGUAUCGGAAGGUGCGGCUGGAUCACCUCCUUUCUAAGGA
rnacentral:rRNA from 1 species